rnacentral:lncRNA from 1 species
AAGAAAUAUUUAAAUAAAAAUCUUAAUUUAGAUUUUUAUUAGGAUUUUAAAAAACCUUAAACAAAUCCUAAUGAAAUCCCAAAUCAAGUCUAAUUAAAUUCUAAAAAUAUCCUAAUGAAAUCCUAAACAAAUCUUAAUCAAAUACUAAAAAAAUUCUAAUGAAAUCCUAAAAAAAAUCUUAAUCAAAUUCUAAUAAAAUCCUAAUAAAGUCCUA